rnacentral:rRNA from 1 species
GAUGAACGCUGGCGGCGUGCCUAAUACAUGCAAGUCGAGCGAACAGACGAGGAGCUUGCUCCUCUGACGUUAGCGGCGGACGGGUGAGUAACACGUGGAUAACCUACCUAUAAGACUGGGAUGACUUCGGGAAACCGGAGCUAAUACCGGAUAAUAUAUUGAACCGCAUGGUUCAAUAGUGAAAGACGGUUUUGCUGUCACUUAUAGAUGGAUCCGCGCCGCAUUAGCUAGUUGGUAAGGUAACGGCUUACCAAGGCAACGAUGCGUAGCCGACCAGAGAGGGUGAUCGGCCACACUGGAACUGAGACACGGUCCAGACUCCUACGGGAGGCAGCAGUAGGGAAUCUUCCGCAAUGGGCGAAAGCCUGACGGAGCAACGCCGCGUGAGUGAUGAAGGUCUUCGGAUCGUAAAACUCUGUUAUUAGGGAAGAACAAAUGUGUAAGUAACUAUGCACGUCUUGACGGUACCUAAUCAGAAAGCCACGGCUAACUACGUGCCAGCAGCCGCAGUAA